UGAGUUGAGUUGAGUAUAUGAGUAUGGAGAGAAGAGGAGUUGAAGAGAAGAAGAGAUGGAGAAGCUUAGGGAGUUUGGGAGUGGAUGGUACGGACGUCCGUACAAGGCCGUACAUGGCCGUACCGUCCGUACCAAAUGUCUCGACCAAAACUUACCCAACCUCGACCAAGUGAAACGGUAACAAGGAAAUGUUACCUUGGGGACUUAAGGAGAAGGGAUCAGACCGUUGAGUGGAUAAGUGAAGAGCGUGCCAGGCUGUGACAGGCUGUAAAGAGCCAAAGCAUGUAAGGCUUCCCAUCCGUCCAUUCAAAAGCGACCCUUGACUCCACAUGCUUCAAUAGUGCUCCUUUCUUCUCUUGUAAACCCUUAUGUCUCUCUUAUAAAUAUGUAACCUCACUCAGCAAUAAGAUUAAGCAGUUCUGAGUCUCUCUAAUCUCUUAAGUCACAAUGAUUCUCUCUUAGACACUAAUCGGCUCUCAAGUCUCUUAAUCGUUCACAAUCUCUUCUA
rnacentral:lncRNA from 1 species